AUUGAACGCUGGCGGCAUGCCUUACACAUGCAAGUCGAACGGCAGCACGGGAGCUUGCUCCUGGUGGCGAGUGGCGAACGGGUGAGUAAUAUAUCGGAACGUACCCUAGAGUGGGGGAUAACGCAGCGAAAGUUGCGCUAAUACCGCAUACGAUCUACGGAUGAAAGUGGGGGAUCGCAAGACCUCAUGCUCAUGGAGCGGCCGAUAUCUGAUUAGCUAGUUGGUGGGGUAAAGGCCUACCAAGGCUUCGAUCAGUAGCUGGUCUGAGAGGACGACCAGCCACACUGGAACUGAGACACGGUCCAGACUCCUGCGGGAGGCAGCAGUGGGGGAAUAUUGGACAAUGGGCGAAAGCCUGAUCCAGCCAUGCCGCGUGUGUGAAGAAGGU
rnacentral:rRNA from 1 species